GAAGGGAGCCCUUUCACUAAGUGCUAUCCACGAAGCAGCAGUCGGGAUGGUUUCCCGAGCACGGUCGGACCGGGUGGAACCAGGGGCCGACGGCGUGCAGGGCAGCAGGCGGCCGAGAAGCUGCCCCCAGCUCUGGUGAGCGAUUCGGUGAGCAAGUGCCUUGGGCCCGGUGAGCCCUCUGCUAUACAAACGUGUGAACAGGAAACAUUUGAAAAAAAGUUCUCCAUUGAACUAUCCCGGCUCUAAAAAGAAAUAAUCUAUUCUGUCUGAACCACAAAGCCAUUGGUCGUCUCUAAAAUUGUGAGGGGGCGAACCAAGAGCAGAUCUACUGACAGGCCGCUCCCCAAAAGCCGUCUCUGCGGGAUUUAUUUCUGACUCGGCUGCCACGGCCUGGAUCUCCCCACAUUCCCACGUCUGAGGAUGGGAGCUCAAGAAGAAAAGAUGCACUGGGGGCCCUUUUCAGGGAUAAAGGCAGAUGCCGAAGAGUGGGGAUCCUACAAUCACCUAGACCUAGAAGGAAGAGGGCUCAGCCCGAUGAGACACAGACUCUAAGGGAGCCAUGAAGUUCUGUAAUUUAGAAAUGGCAGCCUCCACCCAAAGUCAAGAAGGGCGCCAGAAAGAAAGAGAGCAGCGGGGUGCUACGAAGCUGGCCAGCUCCGUGGGACCAGAGGUGGAUCAGGCAUCCCGCUGGGAUCACAGGCCGAAUGGAGCCAUGGGUCCUUGCACAGAACCUGCUCUCAUGAAUCCUGCCCUGUCUUAUCCACGUUCUCUCUUUACCUUCUCUGUGUCCUCACGUAGCACAUCAUGAGGUUUGGUACACACUUGGCAGAAAGCGGGCUCUCUCACCCUUAACUGGAGGGAUGUUUAAAGCAGAGCAAGUCUGACCGUCUGCAGGUGGGUGAUGCAUUCCCCACCAGCUGUUUUCAGCUCAGGAUCCCACAGGAAUGCUUAGGAGAUAAAUUUGAAGAUUCUUUUCUUGCUCUCCUUUAGCUCUCAGGUGUUUUUGUUUUGUUUGUCAUUAACUGAAAAUGCAAAGACCACUACAAAUGAACUGGCAUUCAGCUGGACUUGUACUAUUGGAGGUUUUCUCACAGGUGGCUGGGUACCUAGCAGGAGCGGUAUGUGAGCCCUGAAAUCAGCAGACAGCAUCAUUUUAUCAUGUAGCGGAACUCAGCAGAGUGAAAACGGAAACAGACACUAGACGAAACACAGGAAUGGCCACGCUAUUUUCCAAAGCAGCUGCACCAUUAUACAUUCCCACCAGCAGAGCACAAGGGUUCCGGCUUCGCCACAUCCUCUCCAGCACCUUUAGUUCCUGUUGACGUAAAAAGCAGCACGAUUGUCUGAAAAAAUCUGUUUCCACGGGUACGAAAAUAGAAGACCACAUACAGAAGAAGAGAUUGUUUUCCAAUCUGGUGGCUUGAGGACUUGUUUCAAUAUCUGAUAUAUCAAAGUCGUGGAUCAGAAAACACCAUAAUGAUCCCACUUGUAUUUUUAUCUUUGAGAGGUUUCAAAAUUUACUUUUUGUGCUUUGCAGUAACAUUUGAUGGUUUCUUAAGUGUGUUGUUGAUUUGAUGACCUCUCUGAGAGCCAGAGAAUAAGUGUCUGUAUGUGUUUUACUUAAGUAGGAAAGAGUAAAGUUCAAAUCAACUAAAAAUCUGUAAUUAGGAAAGUUGUAAAACCACAAUUUGUCUCAGGGCAAGAAACUACACCCUGGUGUGGCUGCCCUUAGCAGCCACUGGAAGGCUUGCUGAAAUUAGAAUAAAAUAUCUCAGUGAUACUAAAGUUCUCAAAUGUGCCACCAUUGGCAUGAUACUAUCUGGUAUAUUUUCCAGAGACAAAAGUAACAAACUGUCAGUUCUCAUUGCGAUAUUUUAUCUAAAAAUGAAUAAUCCUGUGGCAGAAACACGAAGUCUGUGAGGGCCUGACCAAGCCCUGGCCACCACACUGUCUUUAGGAGAAACAAUUGUUCCCAACAUCACCUGGCAUCUACUUCUACAUUCUUGGGCCAGUGAGGAAAAUUACUAAGUAAAAUACAGUAAUCAAUUAGGAAAUUUUUGCAAAGCUCUAUUUUAAAAGAAGAACG